rnacentral:snRNA from 1 species
AUGCUUUGGCAGCACAUAUACUAAAAUUGGAACAAUACAUAAAAGAUUAGCAUGGCCCCUGUGCAAGGAUGACACACAAAUUCAUGAAGCAUUCUAUACUUUA